rnacentral:lncRNA from 1 species
GAUGGAAGGCGAGAAUCAGUGAUAGACAUGGCAUAUGAUAUACCUUUGAAUAGAAAUGAUGAACAAGGCCCUAUCUUUGAAGCUGCUGAAAUUGCUCGGUUGGUUCAAGAAAGCCACAAAGAAGGGCAUCACACUGAUGGUGAAGAGGAAGAAGAUGACACACUUUUCGAGUAUUGUAGCGAUGAUGAAGGAGGUGCUACAAUUGAUGUUGAC